GUUCUCCUGUGGACACUCAGCCAGCAGCCCAGCCACAGCAGAAAGAGUCCUCCCCAGACCCUAGAGCCCAAGCGGCCACCCCCUCCCAGGCCGGGAGCUCCCCCCACACGCCCCCACGCCCCCACAGAGACCCCCACCACCUUCAGGUGAGCAGCCACUCUAUUUCCCAUUGUGCUAGACUGAAAUUUCUCCUCCACUGUUUAGAAUGCUCUGUGUGUUUUCAUAUCACUAGCUUCUAGGUUUAUUUAUUCUUAUUAUUUUUUAAUCAUUGUUGCUACUUUUCCACCUUUUCUCAAAGAACACGAUAGGUUGACAGGACAGAUAAAAUGUAUUUAUUUAACAGGUAGAUUUUUGCCAUUGUUUUCAUAGCUGCCUUCUUACCAGAGUGCAAGAGGGGUUUGUUUUAGUUUUGCUAAUUUGAUGUAGCUGGGCAAGUAAACUGUUCUUAGGUAAAACUAGGUUUAAUUUUUUUUUUAAUCAUCAUUUUUGGCUUCAUGAAAUCAUUAAAGUUGAAUUUGUCUAAUCUUUAUGAUUAGAACUAGAAAGCAUGCACAUUAUUUAAUAUGUUUUAUAUAAAUAAUAUUUUAAAAUAUGAUUGUAUUGUUACUUUAGUUUUUAUGAAUAUAUGCUUCUUUAUAGUAUCUAGAUACUUACAUUUAAUUCCAACGUGAUAUUUGUUACCAUAAAUACUACAGCAAAUCUUGACAUUUAAUUCUUUAUUUAAUGUCAUUUCCUUUCUGCUUCAUAUUUUCUUGUGAACUAUAAGGGGCUAGGAGUCCUGCACCUGCUAGAAAGGAAUUUGGAGGUAACCGUUUACAUUUGUUAUCAUAUCUGAAUCUUGGUUCACUAAUCUUUUCCAGGUUGAUUUCUCUGAGAGACAUUUUAGGUUUGUUUGAUACGAAUCAAGAUAAGUGACAUUUAUACUACAUGUUAAAAAUAACUCUGAACUUCUAUUAUAUUUCUCUUAAAGUUUACAGCAUAGCUUUUUUGUAAAUACAAGUAAUGAGAGCUUCUAUCUUCCAGGAAGACAUAGUGGAACUACUUAACAAGAUUGAAUAUGCUUUUUUUUUUUUUUUUUUUAAAUGUAGUCAAUCGGGUCACAAAGAUUUAGUACCCAGCAGUCAUACUAAUUUCAAAAGGGUUUCAGAUACACUGGAUACAGAACAUUUCCCACGUCUUAAUGAGUGAUUCUCUAGUAUAUUCCUUUUCUUUUUUUUUUUCUUGGUACUGAGGAUUGUAGUACAUUCCUUUUCUAAUGGAAAAGUUUGUAGGGUAGCAAAGUUUCCAGGAAUGUAAUUUAAACUUAUGGUAAUCAUCUGAAAUAUAUCUUCUAUUUUGUAUUUAUUAUAACUUGUUAUAAAACUCCUGCCUCAUUUAUUUAAGAACUCUAUGGUUUUCUUUUCAGUACAGAAACUUUUAUCCUAAAAUGGAUCACUUUUUUUAAAAAUUAAGUAAUUUAUUUGGUUGGCAUGUGAACCCACAGAGCCCAAUUGGAGGUAUACAUUUGACAAGUUUGUUUAAUCUGUUUCUCCAGAAGGAUGAGGCAGGUUGUCACAAUUCCUCAAAAGGGUUUGUACAAAUCCAUCUUUAAUAUCAGGCCCACUGUUCAUGUGUAGUUGGUGUAAUUUCUAUUCUAGCUGCCUGAGGAGUUUACAUUCAGUUAUUACAGACUGACUUUGCAUGUGUAUAGAUUUUGGUAACUUUGUAUAAUAAGAAUAGCUAAAUUAAUUCAGCAUCACAGCUUCCACGAAGUACUGCCUAGUGAUAAUUUUUCCAUUGAGCUACAGAAACCAUCAAUAUUUCCCAAACUCUUCCUUAUAUUUUCAUGAUAAAUUCAGUUUACCUUCUGCUUUAAUUAGAAAACCAACCUAUAGAAAAUAAAAAGUGUGGUGGUAAUUCAGUGGUAAAGUGUUUGCCUGGCAUGUGUGAGCCCCUGAGUUCAAUUCUCAGCACCAAAAAUAAAAAAAAAGAAAAAGUAGUCUCAUUGAAAUUAAAACUUCAUUUGUGAUCUUCUUUCCUUUUGACAAAUAUUGGAGCUUUUAGUAGAGAUGGAAUUCUAGCAAUAAAGAAUGAGAUGAUCUUAGAAGAAAGACAUUAACUUUUUAAUAUUUCCUGUGCUUAGUAAUCUCAGAUAAAAAAGAAAAGAAAAUUGCUGUCCCAUUUCAGUUUGAGGAGGAGGAGGACUCAAAUUUGGGCUUAGUCUAAAGCCACGUUUGUUUAUACUGUUAUCUUUAAAGAGAUGUAAAGCGAAGAAGGAACCCUUGUGCAAAAAAGUAAUUGUGUGUCUGCCUUUCUUCAUUCUGUGCUGCGGACUCUGAACAAUAUAUAGCUUUUGUUCUUUUUCUAAAAAGGUAUUGGAGCCCCUCCCAGUCCUGGGGUAGCUAGGAGAGAGAUGGAAGGUAACAAGACUUUUACAUUAUAGAAAUGGUUCAUUUGUUUGAUUUCUAAAUGUCAGCUGCUCCAGUGUUUAAAGGCAUACUAAAUCUUUUCUUAAUCCCACUGUAAACUUUCCCUCCACCCCAUCCUUAUGUAUAACUUGUAUUUUUCUCUCUUCAUUCUGUUUACAUGUAUGGUUUCUAAUGGCUGUCAAUUUAAUUUCCCCAAGACUCGUGUAGUAUGUUGCGUGUACGCUUUCAUAAAUAUUUCAUGUAUACUUAGGUUGUGAAAUUACUGUUUAAGAAGAAUGCCUUCAGUUUUCUUUUCAGAAUAAAUCAGAUGUUUAGAAAUGCCCUUUACUAAUCUGAUGUUUUAAAAAUUAGUAACAGGGCCAGGGAUCUAGCUCACUGGUGCUGCUGCCUGCCUUGUGACCGUAAGGUCCCGAGGUUGAUCCCCGGUACCAAAAAAACAAAAACAAAACAAAAAAAAUUAGUAAGAAUAAAGCAUUAAAAAUUAAGUCCAGGGCCAGGGAUUUAGCUCAGUGCUACCACACGUUCCUCGCAAGCACAAGGUCCUGAGUUUAUCCCUGGUACCAAAAAAAAAUUAGGUCCAAGAAUAGAGUAUUUUGUGAGUGAUUUUGGGUAAUAUAUGUGUUCUGCGUAUAUUGGUACUGAGCUAGAUUUGUUUAAAAGACCAUUCAGGGGCUGGGGAUUUAGCUCAGUGGCACCACACCUGCCUCGCAAGUGCAAGCUAGGUCCUGAAUCAUACUUGAAUGUCCUUUCAAAAGGAAAAUAAAUCUUAAGAUGCUGCUUAUUAGUCUUUCUGUUCCUUUUGUCCCAAAGAAUUUGUACCACAUUUUAAUACUAUCUUCCAUAAGGUAGGCAUUUUAUAAGAUACGUACAUUUCUGUCUUCUAUUUUGUUACCGAAAUCAAAAAAUCUCACUGUAAAAUAACUGUUCACGAUAAUACCUACAGCAUGAAGCCCUGCAACGGUGCUCCUAGGAGCCUCUUAUGCAGCUUGAAAUCUGUAGCCCUACCUGUUGCUCAGAGCUGUUUGUUUGCCAGGCCCUGAGGAGCAGAAGUUAGUGUUCACAUCUGUGACCAUUCCCUCCACUGACCAUGUUUUUGUGGUUCAUGGAGAGAGCUCUGUGAGGACUAUCACCUUCAAGUGACCCCGAGAGUGAGGCAUCAAACUGAGAGCUACCCUUGUGUCCUAGGAAGGUCCCUCUAAGUAUUCUGGCUUUUCUCUCUUUGGAAUAUUUCACUCAGGACCAACAGUAUCCUUCAUCCUUAUCCGAAGCUAAGCGCUGUGAUUUGUUACCAUAUCAGGCCCCCAUUUCUGCUGGUGAUGACACAGAAUGACCAACUAACUGAUUUAUGCAAUAUUGUUUUGUUGCUUACUUAUGACUAAUUUUUUCCUUCCUGCUUCCAAGCACCCAAAAGCCCUGGAACAACACGGAAAGAAAAUAUAGGAUGUAAUGUCUUCAUUCCAGGACGCAGUCAGCCUUCACCUCAAGCAGGACUUGCAGGCCCAGGACCUGCUGGACCCAGUACAGCCAGACC
ensembl:lncRNA